CAGCAGUGGGGAAUAUUGCACAAUGGGGGAAACCCUGAUGCAGCCAUGCCGCGUGUGUGAAGAAGGCCUUCGGGUUGUAAAGCACUUUCAGUAGGGAGGAAGGUAGUGUAGUUAACACCUGCACUAUUUGACGUUUACCUACAGAAGAAGCACCGGCUAACUCCGUGCCAGCAGCCGCGGUAAUACGGAGGGUGCGAGCGUUAAUCGGAAUUACUGGGCGUAAAGCGCAUGCAGGCGGCCUGUUAAGUCAGAUGUGAAAGCCCCGGGGCUUAACCUCGGAAUUGCAUUUGAAACUGGCAGGCUAGAGUCUUGUAGAGGGGGUAGAAUUUCAGGUGUAGCGGUGAAAUGCGUAGAGAUCUGAAGGAAUACCAGUGGCGAAGGCGGCCCCCUGGACAAAGACUGACGCUCAGAUGCGAAAGCGUGGGGAGCAAACAGGAUUAGAUACCCUGGUGA
rnacentral:rRNA from 1 species